UUAGAUUAACAAUAUUUUUUUAUAGAAAUAGAUAUUUAAAUAGGGUUAUAAUAUAAUGUAUUAUUUUAGAUUUAUUAUUAUUUUAUUACUGUGAAGGAUUCAUGAAAAUUAUGAAAAAUUUUAAAAUUUAAAAAGUAUUUUUUUAAAAGUACCUUUUGCAUCAGGGUUUCUUAAAUAAAUAAAAAUAUUUUUUAUUCCCGAAGUUAAUAUGAUCUAUUAAAAUAUAAUUUUUAUGUUUAAAUAUAAUUAUUAAUGUUUUGAUAGAAAUGAAAUUUUAUUCAAAUUUAAGGAUAUCUGGUUAUAAUAAUAAUGAUUAAACAUCUAUCUAUUAUAAGUUUAUAUUAGUGUAAUUAAAUAGAAACGAUCUGUUGGGAUAAGCUUGCAGAUUAGAUUUUAAAUUAAAAAACAUAAGAUAAUAAGGAAUAAAAUUUUCUUUAUCUUUUAAUAAAGAAUUUUGAGUUAUGUGAAUAGGUAUUUAAAUUUUCUUUAUGAUAUUAAUAAUUUUGUUAAAAUUUAAAAAUAAGAGAAUUAGUAAAAUUGAAUUUAAAAGUGAAUUAGAUUUAAGGUUUUUAAAAUAGCUUUGUGAAAUUAAAUUAUAGGAAUUCGGCAAAAGUUAAGAGUUGACUGUUUAACAAAAACAUUUCAUUUUGAGUUAAUAAAAUGUAAAACCUGCUCAAUGAUUAUUAAAUUGCUGUGGUAUUUUGACUAUACGAAGGUAUUGAAAUAAGGCUUUAAAUGAGUGCUAAGAGAAUGGUUUAACGAUUCUAAGCUUUCUUUAAUUAAAAAAUUGAAUUUAAUUUUUUUGUGAAGAAGCAAGGAUUUAAAUUAGGGACAAGAAGACCCUAUGAAUUUUGUAUUAAAUUUUGUUAUAAUUUCGAAAUUAUAACGUUUAAAUUAUUUGGGGUGAGUAGAAAAGAAUAUUUAUCUUUUUUUUAAAAUUAAUUUGUUCCGUUUUUAACGAUUUUAUGAAAAAAAUACUCUAGGGAUAACAGCGUAAUAAUUUUGGAUAGUUCUUAUAGAUAAAAUAGUUUGCGACCUCGAUGUUGGAUUAGGAUUCUUUUUUAGUGAAGAAAUUAAAUAGAAGAAGUUUGUUCAACUUUUAAAUUCCUACAUGAUCUGAGUUCAGACCGGCGUGAGCCAGGUUGGUUUCUAUCUUAAUUAAAAAUAUAUUUAUUUUUUUAGUACGAAAGGAAUAAGAAAUAUUAAUAAAAUUAAAUUAAUUUAUUAAAUUUGAUUAA
rnacentral:rRNA from 1 species